ACCACCAACCACCUCAGUCCUCACUCUGACACACAUCGCUACAGGUGUGGCUCCCUUUUCCAAUGAAGACACAGUGGGAGUACACUAAUAAAGAUCUGCAAGAGACAACCAUUCAACCUUCAAGUGCUCACUGGAUUAUAUGAAACGUCAGAAGACCAGGGGACUUUACAUGGGAUAUCAUAUAACACUUGACUGCUGAGGAAUUCCACAAGUUAAAAGGGAGUAUUCUUGGAGCCAGUUCAAGUCACCAGAGGAAACUAGAACAAACGUUGACAGCAAAGCUUCAGAUCUGAGCCUCAAUACCCUGUCUGAGAUCCAACACAUCAAACCAAAAGCCUGUCAAGAGAUUGACAGCCACAGACUCUAUCUGCCUGUGUUUUGUAUUCUCAGCCUUCCAUAAUCAGUCAGUCAUAAUGAAUUCGUCUCUGGAAAACCCUUAUGGAGACGUGACCAUCCCUCGGGCCAAGCUACAUUCUGCAGAGGACAGCACGAUCAUCAUCAACCCCAUCGCUCUGGACAGUACCUACAGCAACCGCAAUUACUCCCUUAACCCCUACGGUGCCUUUAAACCCGGGGGGCAGUCGCCAUUCCCCUCAGAAGGUACCAACAAUGGAGAUGGUGGCGCCUCAAACACCCCUUGUUAUGACGGCCAGACCUCCUACACAGUGAAGGAGGACACGGAAGAGGAGUUUGGACGCUGUCGUACCUGCUGCUUUCGCUGCCGACGGAAGUAAACCGGCAACAUAGGCCCAGAUCAGGAAAUAGUCCUACAACUCCCCGGCCACAUAGGAUUCUGGGUAUAUGAACUAAGACAAUCAAGGGACACUGUCUGAAGACACUGUCCAAUCUAGUGUUACCAGCUGGUUUAAAAGCCAAAAGCCGUUACUGGCUAAACAUGUAUAGUUUUUUAAGGAUUCAUCAGUGGUAUCAUUUAAAUUGUAUGCAAUUCCAAAAUGGAUUCUUCUUGCAAAAUGCCCUCACAGCCAGCAUGGCAGAAUCUACCUUUGAAACAGAGGUCUUUCACAUAAUCUUUUCACUUAUGACUUUGUACGCUUACUUUUUUUCUUCUUGUCGAACACGACUGCCCUAUAUUUAGCUAUGGAAAUAUUUUUUGCUUUAUUUAUACCCUAAUGCCUUUGUGCCUGAUUUUGUUUUUGUCUGUCAGUGUUUGAAUGAUGUGAAACGGACUUCACUUAGCCAGUUUUCAGGGAGUGUUAGAGAGUAUGACAAGUGCUACAGUAGACCGAUGUCAAGGAAUUAGAAUGUGAAUAGCACUUUACAUCUUCUCUUAAACUGACCCGUCACAAAAGAUGACAUUCAGGCCUUUGGCUUGGCACUGACAGACUUGGCCAAACCAGUGAGGUGAAACUAGAGGGGCAGCUAGCUUAGAAGCUGGUUCAGUUUUCAUGGGCCUUACUGAUCAGUCCAGUUUCCCCACCCCAACCCAUUCCACACCAUAACACACCACUCCAUCCUGCUUAUCCAUCUGCUGGGCUGGUCCCUCUGCUGCUGAGGGUUUACAAUGCUGCCUUUGUGCAACUAGGUCCCAGGAAACCAGGCCACAGGUCCUGCAGCCCAACCCCAGUCAUUCUUCUCUGUGUAUGUGGUAGACAGCACCUUACUGUCCCUCCUGGACAAAAAUAGUUGAAACAAGAGGAAUCAAUUCAUCUGACUGGAUGAGAAUUUAAAUGUAAUGUGAUCACACACAUGCUGUCUUAUUUGUUUGAGACAAAACCAUCCAUAGUUUAGCCUUGUGAAACCAUUACUAAAAUUCUACUCUGCAUCGUUAGCUUAUAGAAAUUAUCUUUCAUUUUUAGCAAGCUACUACAGCAUAUCAGGGUCACCUCAUCAUGAACUGGUUCCAUGUGUGAAAGCCUCUCUUUGUUUUUUUUACCUUUUUUUAACUAGGCAAGUCAGUUAAGAACAAAUUCUUAUUUUCAAUGACGGCCUAGGAACAGUGAGUUAACUGCCUUGUUCAGGGGCAGAACGACAUAUUUUUACCAUGUCAGCUCGGGGAUUUGAUCUUGCAACCUUUUGGUUACUAGUCCAACGCUCCAACCACUAGACCCUAAGCCCCCAACAGAAUUACAUGGCAACACAUGCAUGAGUAUGAAUUGCUACUUUCUCUCCAGUCAGCAGUGGACUACAACUACUCAGGUGACUAGGACCCAAAGUUAAAGAUCCAGUCAAAUUCAUAACAUAUUGUACGAAUCAGAACAUAAUUUUCUUGUAUUCUUAUUUUUUUUGCAAUUCGUAACAUAUCACACAAAAUUAAUGACAUAGUACAAAAUUGUGUAAAAUAAAAUUGGGGACCCGUUUUGGCUCGUGAGCACUA